rnacentral:rRNA from 1 species
GGACCAAGGAGUCUAGCAUGUGCGCGAGUCAUUGGGACUCUAACUAAACCUAAAGGCGCAAUGAAAGUGAAGGUCCGCCUUGCGCGGACCGAGGGAGGAUGGACGGUCUCAAGGGACCGCCCCGCACUCCCGGGGCGUCUCGUUCUCNCGUUNGAGAAGAGGCGCACCCAGAGCGUACACGCUGGGACCCGAAAGAUGGUGAACUAUGCCUGGUCAGGACGAAGUCAGGGGAAACCCUGAUGGAGGUCCGUAGCGAUUCUGACGUGCAAAUCGAUCGUCGGAACUGGGUAUAGGGGCGAAAGACUAAUCGAACCAUCUAGUAGCUGGUUCCCUCCGAAGUUUCCCUCAGGAUAGCUGGCGCUCGCUUCUCGCGAGUCUCAUUCGGUAAAGCGAAUGAUUAGAGGCAUUGGGGUCGAAACGGCCUCAACCUAUUCUCAAACUUUAAAUGGGUGAGAUCUCCGGCUUGCUUGAACUGUGAAGCCGCGAGAUAUCGGAUCAGAGUGCCAAGUGGGCCACUUUUGGUAAGCAGAACUGGCGCUGUGGGAUGAACCAAACGCUGAGUUAAAGCGCCUAAAUCGACGCUUAUGGGAUACCAUGAAAGGCGUUGGUAACUUAAGACAGCAG